GUUCCGCUGAGGGACAUGUCUCCCGCUCUGACGUCUUACCAGAACCACUGUUUGACCAACACCUGGAGGAUAUCACACGAUCAGCAGGUGAGCCAGACGCGGCUGUCGGCGGCCCGCUGAUUGCACGGGCGCACCACAAGGAUGCGCCGGCGCCCACCGCCCGCCCCCGCGCCUCGGUCUGUGUCUGGGUGCGCAGCCUGACCGCGGUGGUACAAGGCGUGCCGAGCCGGCGUCGUAGCCAGCCUGAGCACUCUUCUCACCAGACACGACCUCUUCAACCGCAACGGCGUUCAAAUACUGCGACUGAACUAGAGCUUACGGUUUCGUUUGAAAAGCAGCUACACGGCGAGUGGACGAGUAGUGGAUCUUCGUCAUUCGAUAUGUGGUGACGUAGAAGAAUACUGUCCGGGACUCAAUCAUGAAGAGCUCGAUAUCGUAUUAUUUAUGGACGUACAGUUCCCCAAGUUUCAGAGUAAUACGUAAAACCCCGGAAUACGUCUUCCAAUAACGGAAAAAAAUUUAAACACUCCAACGACUGUUAAAAAUACGACUGCAUUGUUUAUUUGAACUGAAAACGGUGUUUAAUACUGUUAUAUUAAAAUCGAUGUUUUCGUCAUAUUCGGAGAAAAGACGUAUUAUAUCUGCUCAUCAAAUCAUUUUCAGAUUUGAAAGUGGAAUAUUUUUCGGUGCUCUAAGAACAAAUAACUAGGGGUUUUCAAAAGGUUGUGAGUUUCUUUCAGUGGACCCUAGAUGAAUACAGCAAGAAGUUUUGCGAAGGUAAGCAACCAUUACUCUUGUGCUCCAUUUAACUGAAACACUGCGAAAAAAAAAAAUAGUUUUUGAAGGACGAACUUCUGACCGAGGUAUUUGAAAACAAGUUAAUCUCAGGUGAACGAUUAAUACUGUGAAGUCAUGACCCACAAUGUCAAAAAUAUUACAGAAGAAAGCAUUAUUAUUGUUGCUCCUACAA